rnacentral:rRNA from 1 species
GACGAACGCUGGCGGCGUGCUUAACACAUGCAAGUCGAACGGAAAGGCCCUGCUUUUGUGGGGUGCUCGAGUGGCGAACGGGUGAGUAACACGUGAGUAACCUGCCCUUGACUUUGGGAUAACUUCAGGAAACUGGGGCUAAUACCGGAUAGGAGCUCCUGCUGCAUGGUGGGGGUUGGAAAGUUUCGGCGGUUGGGGAUGGACUCGCGGCUUAUCAGCUUGUUGGGGGGGUAGUGGCUUACCAAGGCUUUGACGGGUAGCCGGCCUGAGAGGGUGACCGGCCACAUUGGGACUGAGAUACGGCCCAGACUCCUACGGGAGGCAGCAGUGGGGAAUAUUGCACAAUGGGCGGAAGCCUGAUGCAGCAACGCCGCGUGCGGGAUGACGGGCUUCGGGUUGUAAACCGCUUUCGCCUGUGACGAAGCGUGAGUGACGGUAAUGGGUAAAGAAGCACCGGCUAACUACGUG